rnacentral:lncRNA from 1 species
AAAACGGUCAAAUUGCGGGAUAUUGAACAAAAUAUUUUUCAAAGUUUGGUAUUAUACUAAAUCUGUAAAAAUAAUUUUACAUAAGUUUUCGCUAAAAAUAAAUGACAGCUUCAGGGAAUUUGAUUCACACAUCUACUGAUCUACAGACCUAUACUUCCUUGCAAUCCUCUCCGGCUCUUCAGUUUUGUGAGCCUUUCGCUGGCCAUUUUCUCUCACAGAUCUACAAAUCUAUCCUUUCGCUAUUUCUAGUUGACCCUUCGCUGGAAGAGCUUUUCGCUGGCCAUUUUCUCUCACGGGUUUUUUGAAUUCUUGCUUUUCGCCGGCGAUUUCUCCGGCAACCCCUGCUCUUUUCUUCCUAUUCUCUCUUCUGCUUUGUGGGUGUGUAUGGGUGUGUGUGGGUGUGUUCUGUUUUCUUGGACACGUACCUUAUUUUUCCGGCAAGCUACAAUACUUUCGGCGACUCCCGUUCAUGUUUUCAGCAGGGCGCAGCAGAACUACACGUUCUGAUAAGCUUCAGAAAAACUUGCCCCAGGUACUAGUCACGGCGAAGAGGCCAGUUCGCGACGUUUGGGAGUGAAGAGCUAAGCAACACCGACCCGGGACGUGCAAGAAUUGGUAGCAGUUGACCUUGGGCGCAUCAAAGCCUACUUUCAGGUUUUUCCACCGGGAGUUGGUACCUCCCGCUCUCUUGUUUACUUUGAACACCUUUUUGCGUAUUCCAGCUGACAUUCCGUGUGAGGCUUACUCUGUUGCUAUCUAAUUUGCAUCUUUUUGCAUAUUCCGCUGUAGUUCUCCAUAGUCGGUUAGAGGGAUAGUGGCCGCAGCAGGGGAUAAUAGUGUAAGGUCAU